GAAGCUUCGGACACUUUAGGUUUCCCAAAUAAUUGGAAAGAUCUCCAGGAUUCUUUUUCGUAGCCUUUCUUUAGAAACAGAUUUGAGGAUCACCAAUCUUAUUUCAAUAAGGAUGUCAUCCUUAUUUCCUUACUUUCUUUUACACGUUAAAAUGAAGUUAAACAUUGAUCGCUGCUGUUUAAAAAGAUUUAUCGAACAUACGGGCAAUGUCACCGCAUCAAUCUUCCAUGCAAGCGUUGCGGAAAAGACAGUGAAAGAUCAGAAAAGACCAAAAUGAACACGAAACAGGCUCUUCAUCCGCCGUGAAAUGUAAUGAAAUAACGCAAUUUUUUUGGCCGGAAUGGGUAUCCCACUUCUGCCAUACGCUCGUGCAAAACGCAAAGAGAAGGAGAGAUUCAGCACUUCAGGAUUACAUAUAUAUAUAAAAUUUUAAUAGUUUUAUGCAUUAUUUAUUCAUUUAAUUACUUUUUUUUCGAGAAAGUGAUAUCUGAUGAUUCGCAAGAAAUUUGCAUACUAUUUCGAAUUCGUUUGAAAGAUAGUGUAAAUUUUAGAAGUUAAGUUAAAAUUCGCAUUUUUUUCAGAACUUGCAUUAUAUGUAAUUAGGCGGUAUACUGCAUAAAUCUUUCUCCUCAAGGACUGAACCAAUCAUUUUUUUAUUUAAAUAAGGAUAUCGCUUUUUUAAUACAUCGUUUUUUUUAAAUCGAUUGAUACCGCUUUUUUAAAAAUUUAGAUUCAAAACAAAAGCCAAAAGAUACAUAUGGUACACGAAUUCGCGCCGAAACUGUUGGCUAAUUUGUAAAAUAUGAGAAGGAAUAUACAAAAUCUCAUCUGAAUUUUAAGUUUUAUAAAAUUUUAUCAUAAAUAUACUUGUGAGGCUUUUAUUUAUAAGGCUUGUAAUGCCUAGUUACAAUAAUUCAUAUAGUUAUUCAAAUCAGUGAUAUUCCUUUUGUACACAUAUUUUUUAAUUUGAAAUUUGAAAGUAUCAAUUUAUCAAAGAGA